rnacentral:rRNA from 1 species
UACGAAGGGGGCUAGCGUUGUUCGGAUUCAUUGGGCGUAAAGGGUGCGUAGGUGGCGGGGCAAGUCAGGUGUGAAAUCUCGGAGCUCAACUCCGAAACUGCACUUGAUACUGCCUUGCUAGAGUACUGGAGAGGAGAUUGGAAUUUACGGUGUAGCAGUGAAAUGCGUAGAUAUCGUAAGGAAGACCAGUGGCGAAGGCGAAUCUCUGGACAGUUACUGACACUGAGGCACGAAGGCCAGGGGAGCAAACGGG